CCCGCCUGGGCGUGCUCCUCCCGCCGGCUCCAGGCGUCCCACCGCCCUGCCCGGCGCCAGCCCGCGGUCCCAGCCACUCCUGAGGGCGCGCCGGGCACCUAGCGCGUAGGCUUGCCCACGGAGGUCGCCACGAAGUCUGGACCGCCGAGGCGUGUGGCUCGUCUACCGGCAGGUGUUCUUUUGAUCACAAUGGAUAGUGACUCUUCUGCCUGAGAGUGGUUCAAAAUAAUGAAGGAUGAGGUUGGACUUCUCAGUUUGUGUCCAGAACAAGGAUGGAGAGGCUCAGCAGCACCAACAGGAACUCCUCAUGGAAUGGAAGCACAUCCAGGCUGAAGGCCCCUGUGUUCCAGGUGCUGUGUGAGUGCUGACCUGCCAGGUGACUCCACGAUGGCUUCCGUCCUCAGGGUCACCAUCAACUAAGACAGACUGAAGAUGUAAGUAGUAAUGGAAGGACACAAAAGGUACAAGAGUCAGAGGCCAGGCCAAGAGUGCAAGCUGAACAAGGGGCAAGGAAGGCCUCCUUGAUGGCUAGCUCCAGAACUGGGACUGCAGAACGAGGAAUUUUCUGGAUAGAAAGGGGUGUGGGCUUUCCAUUCAGGUUCAGAUCCACAGAAGCAUGCACACGUGGUAUGCUGGGGCACCACUGCACCACCGGGGAGGGUCAUGCUGGAAAAGAGGCUGCAGGAUCUGGGACUCACUCUAUCCUGGGGCAAUGGGGAGUUUAGGAGAGGGUGAGUCAGAUCAGUGUGAAGUUAGCCUAGAGUCAGGAAGAUGAGUUAAGAGGUCUGACAGUCUAUUGAAGUAAAAUUAUUCAUUACAGAAUAGCACCAUGUAUGUUUCUAAAAUACUUGGUGCCGUAUUUAUUCUCCUGAGGGAUUCAUCUGAGCAUUUAGAAAAGAAUAUCUUGGCCAUUGAGUCUUGGUUGAAAUCGUUCAUUCAUCCAACCAGUAUUCAUCAAGCAUCUCGCACAUGGCCAACGCUGGGAACCCAGUGGUGAAGUUGGAGGAGACUUCACUCACAUGCCAUGAGAAGUACAAGGAAGAGGACCAGAUACCUGUAGAGCAUGUUACAGAGGAGUCAGGUCUGGUCUGGGGUUGGAGGUCCAGGAAGUGACUGGAGUUGAAGCUUGAAGGAGUUGGUAUUCAACAUGCAGAACUGGGAAAAAGGCAUUCCAGGCAGAGGAAGCAGCUUGUGUGAGGGCCCUGGGGUGGGAGGGAGCAUGGUUCAUUUGAGAAGUUAAGAAAGC